ACAGACCGUGGGGCACAGGCGGACGGAGGGCCAGGAGAAGGGGCUGUGCUGCCAGCAGGCAGUGCUUUGAGCUCUAAUGGAUGAACAUUGCUAACCAGCGAAGGUGGAGAGAGGGCACCCGUCUGAGAAGAUGAAGAGGCAGCAAAGCACAGCUGGCCUCGGGGAACCGGAAGCCACAGGGACAUCAGGCUGUGUGCUGCUGUCUGUCGGCCACCAGCUGGGGGACUAUCCUGGACCUGGAAGGGCAUCCCUGACACUCCCCACCAGAUGCCAGGGGCACCCCCAGCCCCAGGUGAGAACCACGGAUCCCAUGGCGAAUGAGGUCAGCCUGUGGGAAGUGGGGCUGGGACUGCUCUGCACAGCUUAAUAGGAAAGUUGGGUUCUAUUUGGUGGGGUUUUGGUCAUGCCAAUGGCUGGUCAGGGCUGUCCGUGAGGAACUGAUUUGAGGACAAGUUAGAGAAGGGGCUGCCGAGGCCAGUGGGGCACUCGCUGUCUGGGUCUAAGAAAAAGAAAAUAAAGGCUGGUGAUGUGACAGUUGGUGGGAGCACAGACGGAAGGAACUGGCGGUGGAGACACACGGUUGGCCCUGCACAGGGCUACGGUAGCUACCUGGGGGUCAUCCUAUUAAUUCUCCUCAUGGUCCCAAGAGGCGGCUGUGAGGAUCCCUCUCCUGAGGACAAAACUGCUCCAGAGCCACACAGAACCAAGAUCCGGGCCAACUCCAAAGCGGGCGAUCUUGACCCCUCACCCGUGGUCCUGAGGCAGGGAUCGGAGCCCCCUGGACACACAGACACUCCCAGGAACUGCAGGAAUGGGAAGUAGAUACCCCAGACCAGCGGCAGGACCCAGGGUUUCUGCCCCUCAGGGCACACUGGGACCAGCCACUGCAUAGGUGGACACAUGGUGCUUUAACCCACACUGGGGGAAGGAAGCCCUCACUCUCAGAGUGGAGACCACAGCCUCCAGCAGGCCCAGCCUCACUGCUUUAACCCGUACUGGGGGAAGGAAGCUCAAGCUGUCAGGGUGGAGACCGCAGCUUCAAUCAGGCCCGGCCUCACUGCUUUAACCCGCGCUGGGGGAAGGAAGCCCUCGCUCUCAGGGUGGAGACCGCAGCCUUGAUCAGGCCCAGCCUCACUGCUGGGCACAGCCUGAGGAUCGCCAUACAUGAUGCUGAGGUGUCCCAACGUUGGGGUGCCCAGAGCCACUCAGCCGAGAAUGUGGUGCUUUCUGUAACUGCCCUCAUUUCUUUACAGUAUAGAUCUGGACUCCAUCCUUUGCAAUGUGUGGGGUUCUAGGAAGAGGCCAGCCAGCCGUGGAAGUGUCCUGGGCUCUGUCCCGGAGACGACGAACUUGGCUCCCCACGAGGGCGGCCUAUUCCCCACAGUGUCCCCCGGGGGCCACACCUGCACCCACCUUGCUGAAGAUAAUUCGCUUUCUCAUCCGUGAAAGAAUAAAGUCGGAUUAACUCAUCUCCACACUCACUUCCAACUCUAACAACCUGUGUUAGGAAAUCAAAGGUAAGGACUCUGACCACAAACCCAAGAAGCAAAACCCGAGACUCACGGAACGACGCCACCAUUGCAGUUCCCAGCUUGACUAGUUGUUUUUCUUUUCUGGUCUGUUCUGCUCUUUUGGUUUAAAUAAUUAAAGAUCCUUGUUGACAAGUAAAAAAAAUUCUUUAUGAAGCUAAAAAAAGUGGUUCUAAUUAAACAUUUAAACAUUCUUCCAUAUACUUUUAAAAACAGUUGUAAUUAUAGCUCUACUUAAUGUUAAGUACUUUAACCAAAUGAAAGGUUAAUUAUACAGACUGGCAAUUAUAAAAAAUAAGGUAACAUAUUCAUGGCAUUAUGAAUAAUUAAUAAGAACUCUUCGAUUUCAUUUAGACCAGGGAUUCUGUGCUAAUAUGCUCUCAGCUGUCUUGAAAUAAUGGUGAAAUUUUAAAAUUAGUUUUGUACUUAAACAUGUCCCCAAAGUGAAGCACAGCGGCCAACGUCCGUCACGGUGCCGAGCAGUGCCAGCCGCUCUACCAUGGCCGACGGCCUGAUUCCCAAGGGCUGCGUCCCGGGGCCGUGCUAGUGCAGUGAAUGUUCAGGAAACAGACCAGGUGGCAGGAGGGAGUCUUGUCCUCAAGGAACCUCAUAAGUCUUGCUAGGGGGACAAACAACGAGAGAAUGAAACUGGCAGCCAUAGAAUCCGGGCCUUGAUGCCCAGGCCUCGCCAUGCAUACCUGCUGGCCGGCAUCUCCCUGAGACCCGUCUGGCACAGGCAACGGCAGGGCCCGGCCCUUGGAGCACAGGGAUGGCAGAGCAGGGUCAUCGAAGCAGGUGGCGUGCAGACAGUGGCUUCUCCGCAAGAGCUCCUGGCUCUCAGGGAGCUGAGGGCUCCUCAAUGGGGAAUUCUGGCUGAGCUCCAGGGGAAAGCGGG
rnacentral:lncRNA from 1 species